AACGAACGCUGGCGGCAGGCUUAACACAUGCAAGUCGAGCGCAUCCUUCGGGUUGAGCGGCCGACGGGUGAGUAACGCGUGGGAACGUGCCCUCUUCUACGGAAUAGCCUCGGGAAACUGAGAGUAAUGCCGUAUACGCCCUCAAGGGGUACGAUUUAUCGGAGGAGGAUCUGCCCGAGUUGGAUUGGGUAGGUGGUGGGGUAACGGCCUGCCAAGUCGACGAUCCGUAGCUGGAUUGUGAGGAGGAUCAGCCACACUGGGACUGAGACACGGCCCAGACUCCUACGGGAGGCAGCAGUGGGGGAUCUUGGACAGUGGGGGCAAUCCUGAUACAGCCAUGCCGGGUGAUCGAUGAAGGCCUUAGGGUUGGAAAGAUGUUUCAGCUGGGAAGAUAAUGACGGUACCAGCAGAAGAAGCCCCGGCUAACUCCGUG
rnacentral:rRNA from 1 species